rnacentral:rRNA from 1 species
CAACUUUCAACAACGGAUCUCUUGGCUCUCGCAUCGAUGAAGAACGCAGCGAAAUGCGAUAAGUAAUGUGAAUUGCAGAAUUCAGUGAAUCAUCGAAUCUUUGAACGCACCUUGCGCUCCUUGGUAUUCCGAGGAGCAUGCCUGUUUGAGUGUCAUUG